GAAGUGAGAAUGCCGGCAUGAGUAGCGAAAGAUCAGUGAGAAUCUGAUCCACCGUAUGACUAAGGUUUCCUGGGGAAGGCUCGUCCUCCCAGGGUUAGUCGGGAUCUAAGGCGAGGCCGCAAGGCGUAGUCGAUGACAAGCAGGUUGAGAUUCCUGCACUAGUUUAUUUUGUUUAAGCGAUGGAGGGACGCAGGAGGCUAAGGAAAGCGCACGGCUGGAAAAGUGCGUCCAAGCAGUAAGUCCGGUAGCGAGUGAAAUGCUUGCCGCCUUAAGGACAAGCUGUGAUGGGGAGCGAAAUUAAAGUAGCGAAGUUCCUGAUGUCACACUGCCAAGAAAAGCUUCUAGUGAGAAAUAAACUACCCGUACCGCAAACCGACACAGGUAGUCGAGGAGAGUAUCCUCAGGUGAGCGAGCGAACUCUCGUUAAGGAACUCGGCAAAAUGACCCCGUAACUUCGGAAGAAGGGGUGCUGACCGCAAGGUCAGCCGCAGUGAAUAGGCCCAAACAACUGUUUAUCAAAAACACAGGUCUCUGCUAAAUCGUAAGAUGAUGUAUAGGGGCUGACGCCUGCCCGGUGCUGGAAGGUUAAGAGGAUGAGUUAGCGCAAGCGAAGCCCAGAAUUGAAGCCCCAGUAAACGGCGGCCGUAACUAUAACGGUCCUAAGGUAGCGAAAUUCCUUGUCGGGUAAGUUCCGACCCGCACGAAAGGCGUAAUGAUUUGGGCACUGUCUCAACGAGAGACUCGGUGAAAUUAUAGUACCCGUGAAGAUGCGGGUUACCCGCGACAGGACGGAAAGACCCCAUGGAGCUUUACUGUAGCUUGAUAUUGAGUGUUGGUACCGCUUGUACAGGAUAGGUAGGAGCCGUAGAGAUCGGAACGCUAGUUUCGAUGGAGGCAUUGGUGGGAUACUACCCUAGCUGUAUGAACACUCUAACCCGCGCCACUAAUCGUGGCGGGAGACAGUGUCAGGUAGGCAGUUUGACUGGGGCGGUCGCCUCCUAAAAUGUAACGGAGGCGCCCAAAGGUUCCCUCAGAAUGGUUGGAAAUCAUUCGCAGAGUGUAAAGGUAGAAGGGAGCUUGACUGCGAGACUGACAAGUCGAGCAGGGACGAAAGUCGGGCUUAGUGAUCCGGUGGUUCCGUAUGGAAGGGCCAUCGCUCAACGGAUAAAAGCUACCCUGGGGAUAACAGGCUUAUCUCCCCCAAGAGUCCACAUCGACGGGGAGGUUUGGCACCUCGAUGUCGGCUCAUCGCAUCCUGGGGCUGUAGUCGGUCCCAAGGGUUGGGCUGUUCGCCCAUUAAAGCGGUACGCGAGCUGGGUUCAGAACGUCGUGAGACAGUUCGGUCCCUAUCCGUCGCGGGCGCAGGAAAUUUGAGAGGAGCUGUCCUUAGUACGAGAGGACCGGGAUGGACGUUCCGCUGGUGUACCAGUUGUGCCGCCAGGCGCAUCGCUGGGUAGCUAUGAACGGAAGGGAUAAACGCUGAAAGCAUCUAAGUGUGAAGCCCCCCUCGAGAUGAGAUUUCCCAUUCCU
rnacentral:rRNA from 1 species